rnacentral:rRNA from 1 species
GGGCCCGCACAAGCGGUGGAGCAUGUGGUUUAAUUCGAUGCAACGCGAAGAACCUUACCAGCUCUUGACAUUCUGUGAACUUUCUAGAGAUAGAUCGGUGCCUUCGGGAACACAGUAACAGGUGCUGCAUGGCUGUCGUCAGCUCGUGUCGUGAGAUGUUGGGUUAAGUCCCGCAACGAGCGCAACCCUUGUCCCUAGUUGCCAGCAUUGAGUUGGGCACUCUAGGGAGACUGCCGGUGAUAAGCCGGAGGAAGGUGGGGAUGACGUCAAGUCCUCAUGGCCUUUAUGUCCUGGGCUACACACGUGCUACAAUGGUUAGGACAAAGAGUCGCGAGCUCGCAAGAGUCAGCU